rnacentral:rRNA from 1 species
CGCGUAGGUGGUAGUGUAAGUCUGAGGUGGAAUCCCAGGGCUUAACCCUGGAACUGCCUUGGAAACUGCAUUACUUGAGUCAGUGAGGGGAGGGUAGAAUUCCUGGUGUAGCGGUGAAAUGCGUAGAUAUCAGGAGGAAGGCCUGUGGCGAAGGCGGCCCUCUGGUGCUGGACUGACACUGAGGCGCGAAAGCGUGGGGAGCAAACAGGAUUAGAUACCCUGGUAGUCCACGCCCUAAACGGUGGGCACUAGGUGUAGGGCUCGUAAGGGUUCUGUGCCGAAGGGAAACCAUUAAGUGCCCCCGCUGGGGAGUACGGCCGCAAGGUUGAAA